ensembl:rRNA 5S_rRNA 5S ribosomal RNA
GCUUACGGCCAUACCAGCCCAAGAACGCCCGGUCUCGUCUGAUCUCGGAAGCUAAGAAGGACUUGGGCCUGGUUAGUACUUGGAUGGGAGAACUCCUGGAAAUACCAGGUGCUGUAAGCU